CACGUAGGGGGCAAGCGUUGUCCGGAUUUAUUGGGCGUAAAGAGCUCGUAGGCGGCUCAGUAAGUCAGGUGUGAAACCUCCAGGCUCAACCUGGAGACGCCACCUGAUACUGCUGUGGCUAGAGUCCGGUAGGGGAGCGUGGAAUUCCUGGUGUAGCGGUGAAAUGCGCAGAUAUCAGGAGGAACACCAGCGGCGAAGGCGGCGCUCUGGGCCGGAACUGACGCUGAGGCGCGAAAGCGUGGGGAGCAAACAGG
rnacentral:rRNA from 1 species